AGCGAUGAAUUUCGUUCAAGUUAUGUAGUAUUGAUCAAUACAGGGUACAACGGGGCUGAUCACCCUCCGUGCCCGUAAGUUAUGACGGUUUGAGGAUAGAAUUCCGCUAAACCUUUUCGAAAAUGAAAAGAAUGUUCAUAGUAUGUUUCUUAAACCCUAUUCAAGGGUAGAGCCAGAGCCAAAUUUAAAGAAUUUGAAAGAGAGUUGUUAUGUGAAUUUUUUAUCAGUACAGAUUACUUCACAACUUUCGAUUCGUUGUAGAAGUGUUAUGUAAAGAGAAUACUUAUAUUCUUUCAGCUUAUAUAUAUAAUUGCUAUUACUUGCUGGGCACUCAAAUGCUCAUCCUUGCUUAAAUUAAAUGUUUUCAGUUAUGUAUGAGCAACCUGAAGGCUCAGGCACGAACAAAGGAAAAGGAAAGCUGAUCGAAUAAGUGUGUAUUAUGAGUUAAUGGUUAUAGUUGCAUGGGUAUCUAUUCAAGUAUUGUAAGGAAUGUAUUUGAAGGUCUCGUACCUGGGAAGUAAACUUUGAUGUAUGUAAAUUAAGUUUGAAUGUAAUAUUACUAUUGUAUUAUUCAGCUUAUAGAAAUGGUAUCGUGAAGCACUGAGUUCGGGUUUCAAGUACCCGGAUUUGGGGGCGUCACAGGUUGGUAUCAAAGCUGUAGGUUAUAAACGUUAGGAGUGCGAAACCUAGGUUAUAACCUUAGUAGAAUGGAGGACGAAAGAUAAGAUAAAUAUUCAGUGAACCAGGAGACGAAGUACUCUGGUGAGGAGUUAUAAGAUAUGAUGAGUCGAAGAGAUCCAUCAAGUUUUAGUUGUACUAAAUAAAAUAUUCCUUCAUUUUACCGAUGAAUAUAUUUUAUUUCGGUGCUAAUGUUGUCUCGUUUAUUGUGGUCAUAGGAUGGAUGACGAAAGUCAAAGUAGCAAUUCCUUGACCCAAGAGACGAUGGACUCUAGCGAGGAGUACACAGACAGUGAGAUGAUAAGAGAUUUGUUAGUUAGGAACGACGACUUAACGGCUAGAGCUGAGCAAGCGGAGGCACAGAAUCGUACUCUCCAGAUUUCAGAACAGCAGUACAAGGACGCUGCUCACCGAACACAGAUAGAAUUAGCCGAGUUACGAGGGAGGUUGGAGCAGAGAGAGAUACAGGUAGGACAGUUGAAGGUUGAGAUAAAAGCCAAAGACACCAAGAUAUAUACCUUGGAGCAGGCUUUAGGCAUCGCCUUUAUGCGAUUCGACAUGAAGUGGAUGGAGCUGCCUUUCGGCAGAGAAGGAUAGGCGUUGAUGAGAAUUGAAUAAAUUUAUCGUCAAACAAAAUAAAAGACAACGUAUAUAAAACUCUUGAUUGCUGUGUAUAUAUACUAUAUGCUAAUCAGGGUAACUUAUGUAUGUAGAUGUCUGGUGGAAAAGAUAUGUGGAAUAAGAAGGAUCAGAUCCAUACCCCCGAGCUAAUAUCAAGGCCAACAGCUGAAAUAGAAGCUUACCAGGAACCCAAAUCGGACGAGGUGGCUAUAGUGGAAAACGUAGUAUCAGAUCCAGAAAUGGUGGAUUUGACAGAUAGUGACUCAGACACUAAAGUUGAAGCUGCUCAAGCAUCAACGGAGGUGCAGGAUCUGGAGAACAAGGUUGCUACGCUGGAAAGGCUGUGGGAGAUAGAGACGUUGCUUAAUAUUCAACUGCGUCAAGCAUUGCUGGAAACAAUGAAAGAGCAGGAUAAGCUCAAAAUCCAAAUUGACCAGAUGGGAGCCUCAAGCAACACUUCGUGUGCAGCUCCGAGAGGUAAGGGAAAAAGAAAGAUAGAAGAUCCUGACUUGGGAAAACCUGAUAAGAAGAAAGGGAAGAAGAUAUGUUAUAUUUGCGGCUGUGAGGGACAUACAUCUCCUCGUUGCCCCAACUAUAAGCAAGGUGGAUGUUUUAAUUGUGGAAUGGAGGGACAUCGAGCGAAUGAAUGUCCGAGAAGAAAGGCUUAGUAAAUAAGUGGUAUGGGUUAUGUUGUGUUUAUGUAAUGUGUGUGAAAAGUAAUGAACUGUUUUCAACUUUAUGUUGGUCAAAAUUUUAAAUCCCGACUUUCGUAGUCACAAAGGGAUAGCUGUUGAUUAAAGCAGUAUUUGCUAUGUAAAUAUUUGAUAAAUGAAUAUGAAUCUAAGUUUGAGGAAUGAAACGAGUUUAAUACAUUAAUCUUAUGCAAUAAUGUUUAAAAUGUAAAGGUAUAAUUUAUGGUUUUAUUUAACCAGAUAAUGCCGCCAAUCCGUCGAACUCGAAACCAAGGGGUAGAAGAAUCUAUUAAUGAUGAAGGACAACAGCCAGAACUGAUGCAAAACUUUGCAAACAUUAUGGCUCAGGCUAUGAAGCAGGGAAUGCCAACUGCUGGGAACCAACCAGACAAUCGCUUGGCAAAAUUCAAAGACUUCAAAGCAGUAGGACCACCCGAGUUCAGAGGAUCAGCUGACCCUACAGAAGCCCAGACAUGGGUGAACGAAAUAGAAAAGGCGUUCAUAAUUGCUAGAGUAGAUGAGGGGCAAAAGACCGCUUUUGCCACUUAUAUGAUAAAAGGGGAGGCUAACUUUUGGUGGGAGGCAAAUAAGACUCGGGCAGGAGAAGAAGAAAUUGCUUGGGAUAGGUUUAAAGAUUUAUUUUUCGAAAACUAUCUCUCUGUUAGUAUGCAGUCUAGAAUGGAGGUAAAAUUCCUGGAGUUAAAACAGGAAAACAUGACUGUUACGGAGUAUGCCGCGAAGUUUAAUGAGUUGGCUAGGUUUGCUCCACAUCAAGUGAGUACAGAAGUUAGAAAGGCAAGGAGGUUUGAGCAGGGCUUAAAACCCUGGCUCUACAAUAAGGUGGCAGUACUGCAAAUAGAUACUUUUGCAGCACUCAUGGAAAAGGCUAUCAUAGCUGAACAGGGGAGUGAGGCCAUGAGUCUCUACAACAAGGAGAAAAAGAACCAGGGCAGGUCAGGAGGAGCGGUGAAGAUGGAAAGUAGUAGUGGGAAUAGGGGUGAGAAGAGAAUGAGGAAUUUUUCAGGGAAUGUUCAAGUGAAGCAGGAAGGUGUGAAGAAGCAGACAGUGCAGUGCAAGAACUGCGGAAAGAAUCACUCUGGCGAGUGUCUAAAGGGUAAGUUCGCGUGCUUUAAGUGCGGGCAAGAGGGUCAUAUCUCUCCCAACUGCCCCAAUUCAAGGAAGAUCAGUGGAUGCUUCAUAUGCGGAUCGACUGAGCAUCAGGUGAGGAACUGUCCAAAGAGGGGAAUGGAGGCAGGAAACAUAACCACAGGGAGAAACAGUGGACCACACUCAACCAGUACCCCAACGUUAGCAACUCCGAGGGUCUACAACAUGACGGUCCAGGAUACAUUGGCAGCUGGGAACAGAACUCCAGGUGCUAUGUGAAUCACUUAUAUAUCUUAUAUGUUUUCCUAUAUAUAUAUAUAGUAAGUGAUUUUAUAAAGAAAUUUUGAGUUCUUUCAGAAAUCAAAUUUCUGCCUAAUUAGAGUGAUGUGAAGAAUAGUUAAAGAUCAGUUCGAUCAAGUAUGAUCGAGGUCUACGUGCAAUGAUUAUAUGUGCUAUGUACCCUUAUGCUUAUGAGUUUUAGAACGGUGAUUCCGGGGACGGAAUCCUUAUAAGGGAGGGUGAAUGUAAUAACCCGAGAUUUCCUAAAUAAAAUAAUUAAGAAAUUUUGCGUAUAAAUUUUUUUUUUAUUUAAUGACGAGAAUAAGUGUCUAGUAAUGUGAACGAUAAAUAUGAAUAUAUUUAUUACUUGAAAAAUUAGAAAUAAUUUUGGAAUAAUUAAUUACUACAAAUUAUAUUUUAUGGUAAUUAAUUUCUGUAAGCAGAAAUGUUUUUAUUAAUUAUUUUCCAUGAUAACAUGAUUGGAAAUAAUAUAUGAAGUGAUAAUUAGAAUUUAUAUAAUAUAUAUUUUAUUAUAUGAAUUGUUCAGAAUAUUUAAAUCAAGUAUUUUAACUUGAUAUGCGAAAGAGAAGUCAGAUAUGAGAUCCAAACCCUGAAUUGGGAUUGUGAUCAAGAGAUGAGAAUAAUAAUAUUAUAUUAUUGUUAUAAUGAUUUUACAGUACAAUAAUUAUGUACUGUGUAUGUGCGGACAGAUAAUAUUGAGCAAUGACGGUCAAUUAGGUCAUAGCAUAUUACCGUGCUGUGAAACCCUAAUUAUUAAACUUAGUUAUGAGAAAUGACUGAGUAGUGACUGUGUAUAUGAAGUUUACUGUGUAUAUGAAGGUUACUGUGUAUAAGAUGUCGGUAAUUAGAAGAAAACCCUAAUUACUGUUGUUUGUCGAUAAUUAGGACAAACCCUAAUUAUUACAACCCUAAUCGGUUGAAGUUAGAGAUCGUAAUGACUGUGUUAGAACAUACACAGAUAAUUAGAGAACCCUAAUGGUCAAUUAGAAACCCUAAUUGAUGGCGUUAAGAAACCCUAAUUAGAAAACCCUAAUUUUUCAAUCAAAACCCUAAUUUAAAAUUAUUGGGUUUAAUUACGAUGUUAUUGUAUAAAUGUUUUAAUUUACCAAAGGAUAGAAAGUAAUUGGUAAAUGAUAAGAAUUACCAUCUAGUGAUUAAAUACUACAUUUAAUUGCUAUGUACAAAAAUGCCCAUGAAAUUAUAUGUGAAAUUACCAAAAUACCCUUUUAGUGUAUUAUUAGUUAUAUUAUUUAUGGAAUUUUAAAAUCUAAAGUGAUAAACCCUAAUGGUUAUGGAUAAUGUCUAUAAUGCCCUUCAUGGUAGACAUGAGAAGUCUAAACUACCCUUGUGCAUUAUUAAAGGAAGAAACCAAUUAUUAGAGUGGAAAUGACUAAAAUGCCCUUUUUGUCCAUUUAGUGUAUUAUUAGUGUAUUAUUGCUAGCAAUCUUGCAAAAUCUGGACAUCUAACUUUAUUCUAGAAUUUACCAUGACACUAUAACAUUACUACCACCAAUAAUCAGCCAUUACAUGAUUGCAUACAUGAUUUACAUAAUUUAAGAGAGAGAAAUGUACAUUAUUUAGCCUAUUUAUUCACAAACACUUGGCCAUAUCUCUCCCAACCUCUUACCAACGAAAUUAUCUUGCCCAUAAGCUCCUAAUCAAAGCCCAGCCAUCACAAACAACAAAUCAGAAGCAUCAAAGCCAAAAAAAUCAAAAAUCGAAGCUAGAAAAGGUAUGAAAUUCCCUAAUUUUGAAAUCCUUCGAUUCGAUGUUAAUUGAUGCAAUUGAUUGUUUAAAGUAGUGUAAUAGGGAGUCUAUUAAUGUUCUGGGUUGUAAAAUCAUGAACCCAUAACAUCAAAGUGCACGAAUUUGAAGAUUUGAGCAAGUUGGAAAAACCGAAUUCUGUGAUUUUUGGGCAAAUGUCAAGACUUAUAUCUCUGUGAUUAUUUACUGUUUUUGUUGUUUAAAAGUUGUUAGGUGUAGCUUGUUAUGUGGUCUUUAAACUCCAAAAGGAAUCAGGUCUAUAUCUAUUGUAGAUCGGGAUUUAUAAGCGGUCAAAGUGGGUUGACCGGCAUUGACCGGCUGUUUUUCAAACCCAGAAAAUAUUCUAAGUGUCCAGAAAUUUUUUUUUGGCAAAUGUCAGGCCUUAUAUCUCGGUCAUCUUUAAUGUGUUUUGUGUUCUAAAGGUUGAUAUGUGUAGCUUGUUAUGUGGUAUUUAACCUCCAAAAAGAAUCAGGUCCAUAUAUAUUACGGAUUAAGAGUUAUUUAAGGUCAAAGUGGGUUGACCGGCAUUGACCAGAAAAUUCUGGGCAGCCCAGAAUUUUCUAAGUGUUAAUUUUUCUGACAAGGUUUGACCAUACUUUAGAUGCUUGAUUUCUUGUUUUUAUGAUGAUGUUAAGUGUUAGAGUUGUAGUCCUACAUGUUGUCUACACACUGGAAUUGAUAGAUCACAUAAACGUUACACGAUCAUCAAGUUAUAGAGGUCCAAAGUAGGCACCUCGAACUGUUCUUCGUGAAGAACAGCUUUGGUAGCUACUUUGAUGGCUGAUUUAUCCCAGAUCUGAUGUUUGUUUAGAGGUUAUGAUUGUUGGAUCUUGUAGUCUUGUAUUUCCUCUACAAGACCCAAUUUAUAGAUUGUCCAAAUUCGUUAAGAUGAGAGAGUUAUUCACGGUCAAAGUAGGCCACUCGGUUCUGCCUUAUGAAGAUCUGGGUAGGCUCAAGAACACCUAUAGCGACACUUCUGUCACUAUAGGGGCCUUUAGCGACAGUUUUAAUUAUUUUAAUUUCUGAUUUUCCGAAAAAUGAUUUAAAAAUUAGAAAAAUUAGAUUUUAAUUAUUAAAAAUACCAAAUAAAUUAUGAAAAAUUAUUUUAAAGUCUGAAAAAUAGUUUUUAAUUAUUUUGAGUAUAUUUCAUAAAUAUUUAAUAUUUUUGGAAUAUAAAAGGUAUUUAUUUAUUUAAUUAUAAUAUUAAAUAAAUGAUUUAAAAAUAGUUUUAAUUCAUGAAAAAUCAUGAAAAAUUAUAUUAUGGUAUAAGAAAAUAUUUUAAGUUAUUUCCCAUGACUUUUAAUAUUUUGUGAUGAAUUUCAUUAAUUAAUUAUAUAUUAAUGAUAUUAAAGUUAUUUAAUGAUUAUAUUAAAUAAUUUAGUUUAAAAAUGAUUUUAAUAUUAUAAAAAUCAUUUUAAAUGAAAUUAAGGUAUUUAAAAAUAUUUUAAGUUAUAAAAUAUAACUUUUAAUAUUUAAAGGAUAAUUUCAUUAAUAAUUUAAUAUUAAUGAUAUUAAGAUAAUAUUAAUGAUAUUUAGUUUAUUUAAUAAUUAUUAUUAAAUAAAUAGUUUAAAAAUGGUUUUAUUUAUUUAAAAAUCAUUUAAAGAGGAUAUUAAGGAUUUAAAAAUAUUUUAAGUUAUAAUUAAUGACUUUUAAUAUUUGGAUGAAUAGUACAUUAAUAUUUAUAUAUUAAUGGUGAUUAUUUAAAAAUGAUUUUAAUUGUUUUAAAAAUCAUUUAAGGGUAAUAUAAAUGUUUUAAAAAUAGUUUGAGUUAUUAUAAAUAACUUUUAUAUUUUGGCAAUGGUUUCAUUAAUAGUUUAAUAUAAAUUAAUUAUUAAUGAUAAUGGAAUUGUUUAAUGUUUAAAUCAUUUAAUUAUGAUUCCGAUGUUUGAAAGUUAUAGCCGGCCAAACUAGCUGACUUGAGAACCGAUUAUGAAGUUAUGAAGUUUUGAGGAACACCUAUAGUAACAGUUAUAUCACUAUAGGCCCGGUAGUGACAGAUUUGAAUUAUUUUAAAUUUUUCAAUUUCUGGAAAAUUCGAAAAUGAUUAAAAAUAAAAUGUUUGAUAUUUACAGAUGUUGAGGUAUAGGAUAAGAGUCUUAGACUCAGUAUUUACCCGAUAAAGCUGUCGGUACGCCGACAAAUGUCAGACCCUAUAAUAGAAAGAAAAGACUUCUGUAAGAGCAUGGAUGAGAUAUUUGAAAAAUGUAUAAAAAUAUUUCAAGUAUAGAAUAUGAACUAAAAGUAUGAUCACUGCGAUUAUGUGAUGACGUGAUUAGACUAUGUGCUGACUGUAAUAGACAGUACUAUGUGUUAUGAUAUAUUGUUCUAAUCGAACGAAUGAUCUGAUUAUUGAUAGGUUGUGAUAAAGAGAUAAAACCUAAGUUGAGAUUUGUAAUCAGCGAAUCAGGCAAGUAUCUUACCUUUGCAUUUCCUUUAUGCAAUGGACAUGAGUAAGAAGUUUCAGAAUUAUUCUAUUCCUGUACAGAUUAUGUACGCUUUGAUUAUCAACAUGUUAGCUCAGAUAUAUAUUCUGUUAAGUUGAUUUCUAAAUGGUUAUACAAGUGUCCCCACUUGGAUAAUCAUGGCAUUUAUUCACAUGUUGAUAUACCUUUGUCAAUUACCCGUAUACAUAUAUGUUGAAUUACAUAUUAUUGUUGAGCAAGAUUAAAAACCUUCGGGUUUGGAACCAGGCAUGUAUGAACAUCCCGAUAAUGGGAAAAUUUUUAUGCGCUUCGGCGGACAAAGGAUGAGCGAUGAAUGUCGUUCUAGUUAUGUAGUAUUGAUCAAUACAGGGGGUACAACGGGGCUGAUCACCCUCCGUGCCCGUAAGUUAUGACGGUUUACGGAUGAAUUUCUGUUAAACCUUUUCGAAAAUGAAAAACAAUGUUCAUAGUAUGUUUCUUAAACCCUAUACAUGGGUGGAGCCUCAUUUCAAGAAUUUGAAAGAGAGUUGUUAUGUGAAUCUUUUAUCAGUACAGAUUACUUCACAACUUUUGCUUCGUUGUAGAAGUGUUAUGGAAAGAGAAUACUUAUAUUCUUUCAGCUUAUAUAUAUAAUUGCUAUUACUUGCUGGGCACUCAAAUGCUCAUCCUUGCUUAAACUAAAUGUUUUCAGUUACCUACGAUCGACCUGAAGGCUCAGGCACGAACAAGGGAAAAGAAAAGCUGUUCGAAUGAGAAUUAGUAUGAUUUAAUGGUUAUAGUUAGUAAGACAAUGGAAUCUAUUGUCAGGUAUUGUAAGGAAUGUAUUUUGAAGGUCACGUACCUGGG
rnacentral:lncRNA from 1 species